CCAAUAGCGUAUAUUAAAGUUGUUGCAGUUAAAAAGCUCGUAGUUGAAUUUCAGGAUCAAUUUAUUGGUCGUACCUUUUGGUACGUACUGAUUUUAUUGGUUUCUCCCUUCUGACGAACCAUGAUGUCAUUAAUUUGAUGUCUUGGGGAAUCAGGACUGUUACUUUGAAAAAAUUAGAGUGUUUAAAGCAGGCUCACGCUUGAAUAUAUUAGCAUGGAAUAAUGAAAUAGGACGUUUAAUUCUAUUUUGUUGGUUUCUAGGAUUGACGUAAUGAUUAAUAGGGAUAGUUGGGGGCAUUAGUAUUCAAUUGUCAGAGGUGAAAUUCUUGGAUUUAUUGAAGACUAACUACUGCGAAAACAUUUGCCAAGGAUGUUUUCAUUAAUCAAGAACGAAAGUUAGGGGAUCAAAGACGAUCAGAUACCGUCGUAGUCUUAACCAUAAACUAUGCCGACUAGGGAUCGGAUGAUGUUGAUUUUUUAAUGACUCAUUCGGCGCCUUACG
rnacentral:rRNA from 1 species